ACAAUAUAUAUCUAUAGUCAGUUUUCACAUAUCUAUUAUUUGACUAUUAAAUAUAAAAAUAUUUAAGUACCGUUCUCUACAAGUCAAACUUUUAGAGUACAACGAUUAUUUCAUAUAUGUUACAUGAUAUCAGAGCAGAAGGUUUUGAGUUCGAAUCACGCCGAGUCCAGACGUGUGAGAGAUAUUAAAUAUAAAUAUGUUUAAAUACUGUUCUCUGUAUAUAAACUUAAGCUUUAUUAAGAGUACAACGAUUGUUUUAUAUAUUUUAUAGACUAAGACUCCGUUUGUAAUAAAGAUCCGACGUUGAGGAGCAUGAUACAAAC
rnacentral:lncRNA from 1 species